UAAAAUAAUUAAGGGCACACAAAGGAUGCCUAGGUAGUAAGAGCCGAUGAAGGACGUGGUAAGCUGCGAUAAGCCUAGAUAAGUUGCAAUCGAACGUAAGAGUCUAGGAUUUCCGAAUGGAGCAAUCUAUUAAGAUGGAGUCUUAAUACGAAAGAGGGAACCGCGUGAACUGAAACAUCUAAGUAACGCGAGGAAAAGAAAGUAAAAACGAUACCCAAAGUAGCGGCGAGCGAAAUGGGUCAAGCCUAAACCUUAAAUAUGUCAAGGAUACAGCCGUUGUAUUUAAGGGGUUGAGGGACAGAGUAGUGAAGAACUGUAAGAUAUUCAAUAUAGUGUAUUGAUGAAUUGGAAUUGUCUGGAAAGGCGAACCGUAGAAGGUGAAAGUCCUGUACAAGUAAAUCCUUACACAUAUAACUCUGCUCCCAAGUAACAUGGAACACGAGGAAUUCUGUGUGAAUCUGUGAGGACCAUAUCUCAUAAGGCUAAAUACUCUUACUAACCGAUAGCGCAUAGUACCGUGAGGGAAAGGUGAAAAGAACCCCUGGAGGGGAGUGAAAUAGAACCUGAAAUUGUGUGCUUACAAGCGGUCAGAGCCAGUAAUGGUGAUGGCGUGCCUUUUGGAGAAUGAUCCUGCGAGUUACGUUAAACGGCGAGGUUAAGUAUAACGGAGCCGAAGGGAAACCAAGUCUUAAUAGGGCGAUUUAGUCGUUUGGCGUAGACGCGAAACCUGGUGAUCUAAACCUGUCCAGGAUGAAGCUGUGGUAAGACACAGUGGAGGUCCUAACCCACCGCCGUUGAAAAGUUGGGGGAUGAGGUAGGUUUAGGGGUGAAAAGCCAAUCGAACCAGGAGAUAGCUCGUUCUCUCCGAAAUGCAUCUAGGUGCAGCCUUGAGUGUUCAAUUAUGGGGGUAGAGCACUGAAUGAUCUAGGGGGCGUAUUGCUUACUGAAAUCAAUCAAACUCCGAAUACCAUAAUUUAGAGCUCAGGAGUGAGACUAUGGGAGUUAACUUCCAUUGUCGAAAGGGAAACAACCCAGACCACCAGCUAAGGUCCCUAAUUAUAACUAAGUGGGAAAGGAGGUGGAGAUUCACAAACAACUAGGAGGUUGGCUUAGAAGCAGCCAUACCUUUAAAGAGUGCGUAAUAGCUCACUAGUCGAGAGUCUCUGCGCCGACAAUGUAACGGGGCUAAGUUAUAAACCGAAGCUGUGGAAUCCUUAUGGAUUGGUAGGAGAGCGUUCUGUAGGCUGUUGAAGAAGAAGGGUAACCAACUUUGGAGGUAUCAGAAGUGAGAAUGCAGGAAUAAGUAGCGAGAAAGGGGGCGAGAAUCCCCCUCGCCGGAAGACCAAGGUUUUCAGGGUAAAGCUUGUCUUCCCUGAGUAAGCCGGGACCUAAGCCCAGGCUAUAAUGCGUAGGCGAAUGGAAAACAGAUUAAUAUUUCUGUGCCAGUCAUAUAUUGUGAUGGAGGGACGCAGAAGGGUAUGUGCGCGGACGAACGGAAGUGUCCGUAGAAGUAUGUAGGAUGACUUGAUAGGUAAAUCCAUUGAGUUAUAUCUGAGGUAUGAUAUACAGUCGUAAGAUGAAUGUGCAAAUCCCACGCUGCCAAGAAAAGCUUCUAACGUUAAUAUUUGACUGCCCGUACUGUAAACCGACACAGGUGGUCAGGAUGAGAAAUCUAAGGCGGACAGGCUAACUCUCGUUAAGGAACUCUGCAAAAUAACCUCGUAACUUCGGGAGAAGAGGAGCCCUUGGGUGUUAGUAUCCAUGCGAUACAAAGCGCUCGAGGGUCGCAGUGAAGAGGCUCAAGCAACUGUUUAACAAAAACACAGGUCUAUGCUAAGCUGGAAGGCGAUGUAUAUGGGCUGACACCUGCCCAGUGCUGGAAGGUUAAGAGGAGGAGUGAGAGCUCCGAAUUGAAGCCCCAGUGAACGGCGGCCGUAACUAUAACGGUCCUAAGGUAGCGAAAUUCCUUGUCGGGUAA
rnacentral:rRNA from 1 species